rnacentral:rRNA from 1 species
GAUGAACGCUAGCGACAGGCUUAACACAUGCAAGUCGAGGGGCAGCACGAUGUAGCAAUACAUUGGUGGCGACCGGCGCACGGGUGAGUAACGCGUAUGCAACCUACCUAUCAGAGGGGAAUAACCCGGCGAAAGUCGGACUAAUACCGCAUAAAACAGGGGUUCCACAUGGAAAUAUUUGUUAAAGAAUUAUCGCUGAUAGAUGGGCAUGCGUUCCAUUAGAUAGUUGGUGAGGUAACGGCUCACCAAGUCCACGAUGGAUAGGGGUUCUGAGAGGAAGGUCCCCCACACUGGUACUGAGACACGGACCAG